UGUGUCUGGUCUUCCUGUGGAUGUAGGUA
rnacentral:piRNA from 1 species